rnacentral:rRNA from 1 species
CAAGUCCGGAAGGGAUAAACGCUGAAGGCAUCUAAGCGUGAAGCCCCCCUCAAGAUGAGAUAUCCCUCAGAAAUGAGUAAGACCCCUUGAAGACUACGAGGUAGAUAGGAAUGAGGUGUAAGCACAGCAAUGUGUUCAGCUGACAUUUACUAAUCGGUCGAGGGCUUGACCAAA